UAAUAGCGUAUAUUAAAGUUGUUGCAGUUAAAAAGCUCGUAGUCGGAUGUCGGGCUCGGGCAGGCUGUCGGCUUCGGUCGGACGGCAGGCUCGGGUCUUUCUGCCUGAGGAUCCAUCUCAUUCACUUGGGGUGGGGACGCAGGCCGUUUACUUUGAAAAAAUUAGAGUGUUCAAAGCAGGCCUACGCUUGAAUACAUUAGCAUGGAAUAAUGGAAUAGGACUUUGGUGCUAUUUUGUUGGUUUAUGGGACCGAAGUAAUGAUUAACAGGGACAGUUGGGGCCGUUUAUAUUUCGUUGUCAGAGGUGAAAUUCUUGGAUUUACGAAAGAUAAACUUCUGCGAAAGCAUUCGGCAAGGAUGUUUUCGUUGA
rnacentral:rRNA from 1 species